rnacentral:lncRNA from 1 species
UCUUUUCUGCCAUGAAACGAAAUGCUGCUUGUGUUUUCUCCAGUAUUGGCCUUUGUUUUUGGUUUCGGCGGCUCUUCAGUUUCCGUCUGCAAAAAACACAGAGGUAUAUAUGAGUAUGGCUCGGAUGGUUCAAUUUUAUAUUUAAAUUUGACUCCUCACAUGAUGAUGAUGAAGAAUUGUUGGUGGUGGUGUUGUGUAGAGCCUCUUUUCUAAAGACUUGGCAUCCCAUUUGAUGGAGUAUUCUCUGGCGAUUUCCUGCAGCAGCUCUACCUUCAUUUCCGUUGACGGGGGCUCUGCUUUGAAUCUCUCUACAAACUGCCAUGCAUGGAGAGUCAGCAGCAGG